rnacentral:rRNA from 1 species
GACGAACGCUGGCGGCGUGCUUAACACAUGCAAGUCGAACGGUGAAGGGGUCUGCUUUUGUGGGCCCUGGAUGAGUGGCGAACGGGUGAGUAACACGUGAGUAACCUGCCCCCUUCUUCUGGAUAACCGCAUGAAAGUGUGGCUAAUACGGGAUAUUCUGGGUCUGUCGCAUGAUGGGUCUGGGAAAGAUUGCGCCUUUGGGUGUUUUUGGUGGGGGAUGGGCUCGCGGCCUAUCAGCUUGUUGGUGGGGUGAUGGCCUACCAAGGCGGUGACGGGUAGCCGGCCUGGGAGGGUGGACGGUCACACUGGGACUGAGACACGGCCCAGACUCGUACGGGAGGCAGCAGUGGGGAAUAUUGCACAAGGGGCGCAAGCCUGAUGCAGCGACGCCGCGUGAGGGAUGGAGGCGUUCGGGUUGUAAACCUAUUUGGCCAGUGAAGCAGGCCUGCUCCUUGUGGGUGGGUUGACGGUAGCUGGAGAAGAAGCGCCGGCUAACUACGUG